rnacentral:tRNA from 1 species
AAGAGUGGAAAAUCAAAUAAGAACUGCUAAUUACUUAUUUCUAGGGUUAAACUCCCCAGCACUCUUC